rnacentral:tRNA from 1 species
UCCCUGGUGGCUCAGAUGGUAAAGCAUCUGUCUGCAAUGCAGGACACCUGGGUUCGAUCCCUGGGUUGGGAA